CGCCACGCUCUCUCGCUCAGACUGCCCUCGUCGCGAUAACCGCAGCGCACGCCGCCGGCAGAACCGCCAGAAGCAGAGCCAUCUCUCGCGGCCGUGUGCACUAGGACAACAGUGACGCGGCAUCCGGCAGAGGAGUGGCGCUAGGCAAGGGCUAAAAUUUGCCAUGUCUCUCUACUCAUGAGGUGCUUCCAGAACAUGUACUACACGAAACAGUUUGCUGAAUGGAUCCGACUGACUUUAUUGCUUUGUAUAGCUCUGCAUUGCUGUCUUGGGAAAAUGGAGGACAUCAGCUUCGAACCGAGGAUCCUACUUAACAAAACCUGUG